UACGUAGGUGGCGAGCGUUAUCCGGAAUGAUUGGGCGUAAAGGGUGCGUAGGCGGCCUGCUAAGUCUGGAGUGAAAGGUACCGGCUCAACCGGUACAGGCUCUGGAAACUGGCGGGCUAGAGAGCAGGAGAGGGCGGUGGAACUCCAUGUGUAGCGGUAAAAUGCGUAGAUAUAUGGAAGAACACCAGUGGCGAAGGCGGCUCUCUGGUCUGUAACUGACGCUGAGGUUCGAAAGCGUGGGUAGCAAACAGG
rnacentral:rRNA from 1 species